GUCCCUUCCAACCUAGAAGAUUCUGUGAUUCUGAGAUACUUCCAUGAUAUCCACUGUCUUUUUAGCUGGUGGACAGGUGAUGCUGAAGCACAGCAUGUGCACAGACCAUGGUCAACAUUCGGAGCUCCUGAAAACAAUCACUGACACAGGCUGAUGUCUGAAGGACUGGUCACUAAAACUGUCCGUAUCGUUUGCCCCCCUUUUAUUUUAUCCAUCGUCUUUCUGGAUUAGUAACAUCCAGGAGGGAUGCGAGUAACUUGAUCUAACACCUACAGCAUUGCUAUCACCACCAAAACAUUCGUUGAGAUAAUAAAGGAAAUGUGCACUGGCUGAAGAGGCUUGCGUGUAAAUUAGACCAAGCAGUUAAAAAAAACCCCAAAAACUAGCAAACAAACUGGCUAGAUACUUCAGACUUUCCAGAAGAGCAGAGGGGAACAAGAAAUCACUGCAGGUUUUACCACUUUUACCUGGAAAAAGGUCUUCUCUCUGGUAGUUUAUCCAGUUCAUAGAGACUUUGUGUAAUUGUUAAUAGAUUUACCUUGGGAAGGAUUUGGACUUAGGUGGUACCAGAAAUCCUGUGCACUGAAUUCUCCAGGAACUCCUUGUGAUAGGCCCUGGUUCUCUGGCCCAGGAAACUCAAAGACCCUCACAGACUGUGCGAGCUGCUCUUUUCCAUACCUUCCUUCACUUUUGGGAGCUGUUUCUUCUGACUCGGCAAUAAAGAGAAGGGAAGUGCUCUGGGAAUUCAGAUCCACGAUACGUACAAAGUCAUGCUUUCUGACUGAGAAGGAGACCAGAAGUAAAUCCUCCUUGUGCAUCCAGAUUGGAUCUCGCAUUGAAAAACAUCAAAAUCUGAAUUAUACAGAGGCUACGCAGCACUAUGGAUGUUAGUGACUGACAUACUCCAGCAGUGAUAUCACUAGAGCUUAAACAUCAGUGAAGAAGCUGUCCAAGCGAAUGAGAAACUUGUAAGCUCAAGCAGCUGCACUGAAGUGCCUGUUCCAGAGACAUCGGGCAGGAGGAACAACUGUACAACAUUGUGAAAGCACUUUUUUGCAGUCUCCAACUCCGACCAAGGAUGGCU
rnacentral:lncRNA from 1 species